UAAAAGUCUAAUUUGUUGUAUAGUUACCACUGUGGUGAUUUAAUUAAAAUCUAAGCUUGCAACUUCAAACUCCCAAACUUCAACACCAAAGAAGAUGCCCAUAAUUCCCCUUUGUACUUGCUGGAUCAUAAAUGCUGUGAAGACUAACUAACUCUAUCUGGCAUUUAAAAUACUCACUAGUGGCAGUAUUCAGGAUGUCUUCCACAUUAUGGAAAAAAAAAAAGAGUACAUAAGUCGUGGAGAAUCACAGGCUUCUUUAUGUAUCUUGUUCUGCAAGGUCAGGACUUCUUCGCUGUUGAAUGUGAAAGAAGUUUAAAAUUACGAAAUCAUUUAUUCAUGAGGGAAAUGUGCUGUUAUUUUUUUCUCAGUCAGCAGUCAAUAACUAGCCCAAAAAAGGGAAAAAUAAAAAUAAAGAGGAAUGAUGGGUUUAAAAAUAUCUGGUGUUCUCUGGACCUUUUCAAAAGGGUUCCUCUUCAUUCAAGAAUGCAGGAAGGGGGAGAGGGAAGGGACUGCGAAUAGCUGAGAUUAUCAGUGAUCUCACAGUAAAUUACACAUUUAUUUGGAAUGCAUUACAGGAUUAAGGUUACAGACUUGAGAAUUGAUCCAAAUUCCAUUAUGUAAAUGGAAAAAGAAAAUGAUCUUAAUUGUCUUAAAAGGAAAUUGAAUUUAGUUUUCAGUCUCAAUGCUUAUGUGAUCUCAGUUUAAUUCUGCUACAGCUUUUGUUAGUGCAUGGCAUCACCCAAGCAGGCCCCCACAUACGGUCUCAUGAACAGUCUCCCUUACUUUUUGCUAAGCUACAGGUCAGCUGGUCUCCUGCUGUGUACUCAUGUUCUCAUACCUGCAUUCAACCCCAAGAUCAAAGCACCAGCACUUUGUCCCAUACAGUUCCAAAUGCUCUUGGCUUCUACUGGACCCAGAGUAAAUUCAGAGUUUUCAGAAAUCCAGUUUGCACAGCAGAACAUUGGAAGCAGCAUAUCACAGUCAUAACAUUUUUGUCUCUUCUCUGAAGUAACAGGCAUACCUAUGGACUAUAAACAAAGUGAAUUUCAAGAUAGGGACAGAUCCAUUUUGAUCUGCCAGUUUCAUUUAAAAUUAAUAAAUUCAGGCUAAGUGUAAACUGUCCAGUCACAUCCUGUGAAGCUUUAAACAGUGUAACCACAAGGGAAAAUAAACCAUCAGCUCUUCCCUUUUUAUCUUAGAAGUGUCUGAAACGAACUGGUUGCUAAAGAAACCUGAUAUAAUUGUGACAGACUGUUUUGAAACCCUUAGCACAGUUCAUCUGAAACCUCAGCAUAACAAGUGGCUGCUUAUCUGUGUCCCAUUCCAGGAAGAAAUGCAUGGCAUUUCGUCAUCACAGCUGAAAGACUAGCUGGCUCCGCACGUAGGCUAAGCAAGAAUAAGAGCCCUCAGCUAUAAUGAGGGCAUGGUGGUAGCUAAUGCUUAGUCAGAGUCUGUUUCCUACAGCCUUUGCUGCUGCACGUAGGAGUAGGAAUGCAGGAAAAAGCAAAAAUUAAAGAGAACAUACUGAAAGUCAAUGUUUACCUUCUCUGUUUGUUCUCAGGAAAGAUUAUUUUUGAAGAAACGGAAUGCAUGAAGUAACAUUGUGACAUCCUAAACCAUCUCGCCUACUACAAAGACUUUAGAUGAUGACAACUGUGAUGCACUGUUGUCAUGGUUUUUAACACCAGAAUCUGAAAAAUACGAGCAUGGAACAGCCAUUCAAGAGAAGAUAAAAAUGUUAAAUCUGACUGUGUAGCUCUGUUCAGACUGUACUGCCCAUCAAAACUGGAAUUGAGUGCCCUGUUCAAGUGAUUACUGGCACUUGUGUAAAGGAAAACAAGCUCCACCGUUACGGGACUGCUGUAUUAUAUGAAAGAGCAAAAAGGUCACAGGAAUAAAGCAAGCAAAUGCAUGCUCAGUCCCUCGAAUCUCAGUACAUCACAAUAACAUCUGAUGUUCUUGCGCAACAGUGCUAGUAAGUAGCUCUUACUUAAUCUUCUACCAGUAUUACACAAGUAUACUUGCGAAAUACUUCAGAUAAAUAUUCUGUAAUUAUAUGAACUAUAAAAGCAUGUAAAGAACAAAAUGUUUUUGUAACUCUAAACACACAUACCUGUGGUUUACAUACAUACAUGGUUUUGAUGAGCUAUUUUAAUAAUGGAAGCAAUGCUUUAGACAAUCCCAUGAGCAACCAGGAUGCUAUGUGCUCAAAGCAGAGUGGACAUAUGGACAUGCAUUUUAUAUAUUAUGCAUAUAUAUACACAAAGUGAUCACAAUUUUGCCCUGCACAGUCACUAUGUGCUUUCCUGCUGGCAGAAUCAGGCUGCAAAGCUGGAAUAACCAGCUUAAUAGUACUGCUUUAGCACCAGCAACUAUUCUGGUAGUGUAGCUGCGCAAUGGCUGCUCCCACACCACCUCCUCCCUGAUUUGCUAGGGUUUCCUUUUACCUAACUGCUGACAAGCUGACUACAGAGAGGAGCUUGUACAGAAAGAGUAACCACGUUCCGUAAGUAUUACCACCUGCUAGCAGCAACACAGUUCCAUCAGAUGUCAUGUCAUCAGAGGUCAGUCGUUUCUCAUAUACCCUGCUUACUUCAAGGAACUAUUAUUUUCACAUUUACCUAACAACUCCAAAGCACAAAGCAGUCUAGAAGCACAACUGCAAAGGAGCACAACCAAAACUACAUCUACACAGGAACUGAGGUGCCCAAGUGCAAAAUUCAGACUCUCAACAUUUUUGCUUAGCUGUUGAGAUUUUCCUUUGAUCUCUGAAGCUCUGCUCUUGAUGACGACAGCAGCAGAAGCCAAGCUAUAUGAUGGCCUUUCAAGAUGCAUGAAUUAAGCCUUCUGCAGCUAACGAAUCUGAGUCACUAGGCCUCUUUACAUUUGACAGACAGGAUGCCAAGGAGUACAAAGGCGAUGCUGGGAAUGAGAGUAAAGACAGCAGGACUCUAAUCCUUACUCCACAGUCUAUUAAUAAAACAGCAUAACAUUUGCUGUAAGACAGGCCUUCCCUUCCCAAUCGAACAGACUAGUGGUCAUUAUUGCUAUGUAAUUAACUAAAAUACAAACGUUUACAUCAGGAGUGACUGAGACACACAGUGAUAAGAUCUUUGAUCUGAAGAUCAAUUUCAAAGAAAGGAGGGAGGAGAAACUGAUCUGCUCUCCAACUACAGAGCACAUUGAUAGAUGAAAUGAUUGCAGUAGACUUUUUCUACUUUUUCAGAAUUUUGCUGAUUUAAGCCUAGGCAAGUGAAAUUUUAAGAAUACAAAUUUGAGCAUCUAAAUGAAGAAAGGAAUUUCCUUCAGUACAAAGCAAAAAAAGUGCUAAAACAGGCCCAAGCCUUCACUUAAGAACUGGUAACAUAGGCUGAACCCUGCCCAUUAAGCUGCAUUUUGUAGAUCCUUCCUCCUUUCAAAUAUUUACAUGGAUAGCCUAGGUAUCACAUAUGGCUGUUAUGAUUUCUAAUAGUGAUUAGAGUACAGAACUCAGGAUGAAAGAAGCCAAUAUGGAAAAACCUGCGGAGUUGCUCAAAACAAGAGAACUGACUGUGCUGAAAUGGACUGUGACUUAGUCAUUGCAGACUGAACAUGCCAGGCAAACCAUUUCUUCUAUCCAAGUUCCUUCCAAGACCCACUGCUCCCCUGAAGCAUGCUCCUUCUUUCCAUCACGAAGUUGAAGAGGAGGCUGGCUAUAAGAACACACUUAAAACAAUAUUCAACAUGAACCGUGUUUUUGCUCACUAUCUAGGAAUAUUUUUAAUUUAUAUUAAUAAUUCAGAUACAUAGCAGCUUUGAAGAGAACAAUUCUGGCAGCAUGGACUUCAUACAUUAAAAAAAAGCAGAGUCAAACUCUUUCCAAACAAGCAUACAGACAGAUUAUUAACAUUCAUAUGUAAUGAAAAAACAACCUUCAAAACUCUCUCCUUGUAAUUUAAAUUUUAAACUUUUUUUUCUAAACUAAAUGAAAGAGAAAUGUUUCCUAAAGAAUCUGCACAAACUGGCAUAGGGUUUUUUAACAUGCUAGGAAGAAUUGAGCCAAAGAUGAUAUCACAAAGUCCCUUAUGCUUAAAUGAAAAUGUUAAAUCAAUUAGCAAUUGCAAGAAUAAAAAAGAAACUAUUCGCUGUAUAUUGCUUAAAAAAAAGAAAAAACAACCCAAACUCUUCAUGUCCUUUUGAAAGCGACUGUAUUACACAACAUGAAAACCGCAACAUAUUUUCACCUCUUCAAUGUUACAAAAGCCUUAUUAGCAUACACUUUAGAAAUCAUAAUCAAAGAGAAGCAGUCACUGAACAGAACUCUGAAGAAUUUAUAAACAUAAAUAUAUGUACAGAUCAUAUCUCUGAGAGUUAAUUGAGAGGGACUGUUUUGAACUCCUCUAUAAUAAAUUCUUUUAACAUAUUUCAUGUUUAUUUGCAUGUGAAUGAGUGUCCGUGGAAGAAUUAUCUACUAGAUAAAAUUUAAAGAUGAAAUCUAAGUCUAGACUUGGUAAAGGAAGGGUGGAGAGACUGAUAUUACAAUCUAUGUCAGCUGCUGAUUAAUGAGAUGCUCACGAUUGCUGUACAAACUGCAGAAGCAAAUGGAAUAGCAGGGCUGGGAGGAAUGUGCUGGGUACGCCACGCCUUUGUAGAAAGUUAGAAAUCACUUUGACUUCUGCUACAUUUAUUCCAGCCUUGAACUAUCACAUGUACAUGCUGAAAUACAUAGUAACAAACGUGCCUGUCCUAGGUACUUGACUGCUGUUUCUGCAAAAGAUUACAGCAAGUAUAGUUAUAAAUAGUUAUUUAUAAUCAAAUCUCUCAAAAAUCUUCUGGUAUAAUUUUUAAUACUCUUGUAACUUUGUUUAUAAAACAUCAGUGUUUAAAGAGCAAACAAACAAAAAAAUCACCAUAUAAGUCAACAGAUGUUCCUCCUGCCUAAGGAGCACUUAACUAAGCAUUAACUGCAAAAGUAGUAUUUGUAAUCCCUCAAGAUACACAAAAGGAAUUUCAUUGCCUUCAGCUGAACACAUAUCUCCUUUUGUCUUACCUGUUCACAACUAUUCUCCUUCUCUCAUUUUUGGAGAUAGAUGCCUUUUUAGAAGUGUACAGAAAAGAACAUUUAAAAAUAGCAGCAUUGUCACUAUGAUAUCGAAAGUGCAUUAACUUUACAAAUCACAGAAUCACAGAAUCACAGAAUGACCCGGGUUGGAAGGGACCUCAAGGAUCAUGUAGUUCCA